rnacentral:misc_RNA from 1 species
AAAGUCGUAACAAGGUUUCCGUAGGUGAACCUGCGGAAGGAUCAUUAAAGAGUAUAGGACUCCGGUCUACUACUCCACCCUUUGUUUACAAUACCAUUGUUGCUUUGGCAGGUCUGUCAUCAGACAACUGGCUUCGGCUGGUCAGUGCCUGCCAGAGGACCUAAAACUCAUGUUUAUAUUAUCGUCUGAGUACUAUAUAAUAGUUAAAACUUUCAACAACGGAUCUCUUGGUUCUG